rnacentral:rRNA from 1 species
UGGGGAAUUUUGGACAAUGGGCGCAAGCCUGAUCCAGCAAUGCCGCGUGUGUGAAGAAGGCCUUCGGGUUGUAAAGCACUUUUAUCAGGAGCGAAACGCUGUCGGCUAAUACCCGGCGGAACUGACGGUACCUGAGGAAUAAGCACCGGCUAACUUCGUGCCAGCAGCCGCGGUAAUACGAAGGGUGCAAGCGUUAAUCGGAAUUACUGGGCGUAAAGCGUGCGUAGGCGGUUUCUUAAGUCUGCUGUGAAAUCCCCGGGCUCAACCUGGGAAUGGCAGUGGAUACUGGGAGGCUAGAGUGUGUCAGAGGGUGGUGGAAUUCCCGGUGUAGCGGUGAAAUGCGUAGAGAUCGGGAGGAACAUCAGUGGCGAAGGCGGCCACCUGGGACAACACUGACGCUGAGGCACGAAAGCGUGGGGAGCAAACAGGAUUAGAUACCCUGGUAGUCCACGCCCUAAAGCGAUGCGAACUGGAUGUUGGUCUCAACUCGGAGAUCAGUGUCGAAGCUAACGCGUUAAGUUCGCCGCCUGGGGAGU